AAUUUAGCAGAGAUGCUUUAGUGCCUUCGGGAACUCUGAGACAGGUGCUGCAUGGCUGUCGUCAGCUCGUGUUGUGAAAUGUUGGGUUAAGUCCCGCAACGAGCGCAACCCUUAUCCUUUGUUGCCAGCACGUAAUGGUGGAACUCAAAGGAGACUGCCGGUGAUAAACCGGAGGAAGGUGGGGAUGACGUCAAGUCAUCAUGGCCCUUACGAGUAGGGCUACACACGUGCUACAAUGGCGCAUACAAAGAGAAGCGAUCUCGCGAGAGCAAGCGGACCUCAUAAAGUGCGUCGUAGUCCGGAUUGGAGUCUGCAACUCGACUCCAUGAAGUCGGAAUCGCUAGUAAUCGUAAAUCAGAAUGUUACGGUGAAUACGUUCCCGGGCCUUGUACACACCGCCCGUCACACCAUGGGAGUGGGUUGCAAAAGAAGUAGAUAGCUUAACCUUCGGGAGGGCGUUUACCACUUUGUGAUUCAUGACUGGGGUGAAGUCGUAACAAGGUAAGCGUAGUGCU
rnacentral:rRNA from 1 species